rnacentral:rRNA from 1 species
ACUCAAAGGAAUAGACGGGGACCCGCACAAGCGGUGGAGCAUGUGGUUUAAUUCGAAGAUACGCGAAGAACCUUACCGAGGCUUGACAUCCCAGGAAAGCUCUAGAAACAGAGCCGUGCCGCAAGGAACCUGGUGACAGGUGCUGCAUGGCCGUCGUCAGCUCGUGUCGUGAGAUGUUGGGUUAAGUCCCGCAACGAGCGCAACCCUUGUUGUCUGUUGUAUUUUUCAGGCAAGACUGCCCCGGCCAACGGGGAGGAAGGUGGGGAUGACGUCAGGUCAGCAUGGCCCUUACGCCUCGGGCUACACACGUGCUACAAUGGCCGGCACAACGCGUUGCCAACCCGCAAGGGGGAGCUAAUCGCAUCAAAACCGGUCUCAGUUCGGAUUGAGGGCUGCAACUCGCCCCCAUGAAGCUGGAAUCGCUAGUAACCGUAGGUCAGCAUACUACGGUGAAUACGUUCCCGGGUCUUGCACACACCGCCCGU